rnacentral:rRNA from 1 species
GACGAACGCUGGCGGCGUGCCUAAUACAUGCAAGUCGAACGCUGAAGAGAGGAGCUUGCUCUUCUUGGAUGAGUUGCGAACGGGUGAGUAACGCGUAGGUAACCUGCCUUGUGGCGGGGGAUAACUAUUGGAAACGAUAGCUAAUACCGCAUAACAAUGGAUGACACAUGUCAUUUAUUUGAAAGGGGCAAUUGUUCCACUACAAGAUGGACCUGCGUUGUAUUAGCUAGUAGGUGAGGUAAUGGCUCACCUAGGCGACGAUACAUAGCCGACCUGAGAGGGUGAUCGGCCCAACUGGGAAUGAGGCAAGGCCCAGACUCCUACGGGAGGCAGCAGUAGGGAAUCUUCGGCAAUGGGGGCAACCCUGACCGAGCAACGCCGCGUGAGUGAAGAAGGUUUUCGGAUCGUAAAGCUCUGUUGUAAGUCAAGAAUGGGUGUGAGAGUGGAAAGUUCACACUGUGACGGUAGCUUACCAGAAAGGGACGGCUAACUACGUG